rnacentral:rRNA from 1 species
CUAAGCGGAGGAAAAGAAACCAACAGGGAUUGCCCUAGUAACGGCGAGUGAAGCGGCAACAGCUCAAAUUUGAAAUCUGGCGUCUUUGGCGUCCCGAGUUGUAAUUUGCAGAGGGCGCUUUGGCAUUGGCAGCGGUCCAAGUUCCUUGGAACAGGACGUCACAGAGGGUGAGAAUCCCGUACGUGGUCGCUAGCCUUUACCGUGUAAAGCCCCUUCGACGAGUCGAGUUGUUUGGGAAUGCAGCUCUAAAUGGGAGGUAAAUUUCUUCUAAAGCUAAAUACUGGCCAGAGACCGAUAGCGCACAAGUAGAGUGAUCGAAAGAUGAAAAGCACUUUGGAAAGAGAGUUAAAAAGCACGUGAAAUUGUUGAAAGGGAAGCGCUUGCAGCCAGACUUGCCUGUAGUUGCUCAUCCGGGUUUCUACCCGGUGCACUCUUCUAUAGGCAGGCCAGCAUCAGUUUGGGCGGUUGGAUAAAGAUCUCUGUCAUGUACCUCUCUUCGGGGAGAACUUAUAGGGGAGAUGACAUGCAACCAGCCCGGACUGAGGUCCGCGCAUCUGCUAGGAUGCUGGCGUAAUGGCUGUAAGCGGCCCGUCUUGAAACACGGACCAAGGAGUCUAACAUCUAUGCGAGUGUUUGGGUGUCAAGCCCGAGCGCGUAAUGAAAGUGAACGGAGGUGGGAGCCUUUCGGGGUGCACCAUCGACCGAUCCUGAUGUCUUCGGAUGGAUUUGAGUAAGAGCAUAGCUGUUGGGACCCGAAAGAUGGUGAACUAUGCUUGAAUAGGGUGAAGCCAGAGGAAACUCUGGUGGAGGCUCGCAGCGGUUCUGACGUGCAAAUCGAUCGUCAAAUUUGGGCAUAGGGGCGAAAGACUAAUCGAACUAUCUAGUAGCUGGUUCCUGCG